rnacentral:rRNA from 1 species
UACGGAGGGUGCGAGCGUUGUCCGGAAUCACUGGGCGUAAAGGGCGCGUAGGUGGCCUGUGGAAGUCUGCGGUGAAAGCCCGGCGCUCAACGCCGGGUCGGCCGUGGAUACUCUCGGGCUCGAGCUUACUAGAGGCAGAUGGAAUUCCCGGUGUAGCGGUGAAAUGCGCAGAUAUCGGGAGGAACACCGGUGGCGAAGGCGGUUCUCUGGGCCUUACCUGACGCUGAGGAGCGAAAGCGUGGGGAGCGAACAGG